UACGUAGGGUGCAAGCGUUAUUCGGAAUUACUGGGCGUAAAGCGUGCGCAGGCGGUUUUGUAAGACAGAUGUGAAAUCCCCGGGCUCAACCUGGGAACUGCAUUUGUGACUGCACGGCUGGAGUGCGGCAGAGGGGGAUGGAAUUCCGCGUGUAGCAGUGAAAUGCGUAGAUAUGCGGAGGAACACCGAUGGCGAAGGCAAUCCCCUGGGCCUGCACUGACGCUCAUGCACGAAAGCGUGGGGAGCAAACAGG
rnacentral:rRNA from 1 species